rnacentral:rRNA from 1 species
GACGAACGCUGGCGGCGUGCUUAACACAUGCAAGUCGAACGGAAAGGCCCUGCUUUUGUGGGGUGCUCGAGUGGCGAACGGGUGAGUAACACGUGAGUAACCUGCCCUUGACUUUGGGAUAACUUCAGGAAACUGGGGCUAAUACCGGAUAGGAGCUCCUGCUGCAUGGUGGGGGUUGGAAAGUUUCGGCGGUUGGGGAUGGACUCGCGGCUUAUCAGCUUGUUGGUGGGGUAGUGGCUUACCAAGGCUUUGACGGGUAGCCGGCCUGAGAGGGUGACCGGCCACAUGGGGACUGAGAUACGGCCCAGACUCCUAGGGGAGGCAGCAGUGGGGAAUAUUGCACAAUGGGGGAAGCCUGAUGCAGCAACGCCGCGGGCGGGAUGACGGCCUUCGGGUUGUAAACCGCUUUCGCCUGUGACGAAGGGUGGGUGACGGUAAUGGGUAAAGAAGCACCGGCUAACUACGU